rnacentral:tRNA from 1 species
GGUAUAGCUCAGUGGUAGAGUGCAUGCUUAGCAUGCACGAGGUCCUGGGUUCAAUCCCCAGUACC